UAACUGGCUUGAAUUUUUUGAACUGAAUUGAAUUAAAUCCUAACUGAAAAUCCUCAAAUAAACUAUUGUUAUGUAGAAAGUCACACAACUGAUUGGCGACUGUUUUCUCAAGGGUCUUAGAGAGAAGGGAAGAUUAGAUAUAGGUCUGUAGUUGGCUAAAUGGCAUGUCAAUGUCUGAAAACCACUAUUUGUCUCACUUUAAGCUGAGACAAAUCCUCAAGGAUAUAACACACACCCCCCCGAAAUUAACACAAUGUUCCUUGAAUGUGUCUUGGAAAACAAGUGAUGCUGAAAAGUUCGAGAGGCAUCUUAGCACAAUCAUGUUUUCCUGAGCUUGAACAUGUUUUCUAAUUAUGCCCUGUCCCCUUUGGCUGACAGAAAUGUUGUGUGAGAAAUAAAGUUGUGACAUUUUAAAAUGAAGGACACCAGACAAUUAAGGCUUACAGUGGGAUUGCCCCCUCAUGUAUGACCCUAACUUGCAUGAUGAGAUGGAGAGCUGUGUUCAACCCAGUAAUAAUGCUCACUAAUGCUUUUUGCUUGUCCAAAUGUCACAUCAGAUGGGGGAUUAUUUUUUUUGUCAGGGAGUGCUGGGGUGAAAGUGGCAUGCCGCAUGAGUGUAAGGCCACUUAACCCAAGCGUCUGUCUGCAAAAUGUUAAGUUUCUUGCCAAUUUGAAGAAUAAACCCCAAAAAUUGCGAUAAAAUGACUGAACGAAUGAGAUUUUCACAGUGGUUAGAUGUUUUUCAAAUUGCCAUAGCCUGCCUCGCUUAAUGUAAAAAGAAACUACAAUCUUAUUGUUCUGCUUAUUUGUCCAAAUCUCGUACAAGAAAAUUGUCUAUGUGGAGGAGAUCUGUGGACAAAAAAGAGACAAUCUAUCAUGCCAUCUUGAGUCGGUGUCAGAAAGUGACACCCAUCCACUGCCUCCUCUUCAGUGGCUGCAUAAAUAGCUGCUGAGAUCGCUGAUUGAUAAUUUUCCUUAUCUCCAAAUGUCUCCUGUUACGAGGAAACAAAUAAGGGGAGAGGCAAGCGGACCUGGCAGACAGAGGUCAAUGGGAGGACUUCUACAUUUCAUCCGGCACACAUUGAGAGAUGGAGGUGCCACAGAGUGACAGUCUCCGACCCCUAGCCACCCUCGCUGAUUCAACUUGACAGAGGCAAGGUGGGCGCAGAUAUAUCACAUUCUGUUUCAGAAGUGACGGUUUGCUACAUGUAGUCUUCACCCAAAAAGUGAGAAAAAUCGCAGAAGACAUUGUCCUUUUAAAAUUGAAUUACAUGUAACUGAAUGAAUUGGAGGCAUUUAAUCUGUGAGUGCCGGAGAUGUCAUGAGCUGAGCUGUAAAUCUUAAAUGACUCAAGAGCUGAGUCCUGGACCUGAGUUGAGUUAGACUGAUUGGUUUCCACACAUAAGGUUAUUGUUUGUCUCUCUGUGCAGCAAAUGAUGAAUUCUCUGCUUACUUGAUCAGUUUAAGAUAAGUGUCAUGACGAGACUCUGUUCUCAAUGAGAUACACAAUUUACACAUUAAAGGAAUAGUUCAAUAUUUUGGGAAAUGCACUUAUUUGCUUUCUUGUCGAGAGUUAGAUGAGAAGAUCAUCAUCAUCAGGGUGGAUUUUGCCUUCAGUCAGAGCCAGGCUAGCUGUUCCCCCCAGUUUUUAUGCCAAGCCAGUAAAUGAACGUAUCACCAUUCAUAACAGUGUCGACUGUUACUGACUGUCUUCUGUUCAGUCGUAGUUCUGUUGCUGGUUCAAGCUGUGACAUUCGGUUAAAUAGAAAACUAGGCCUUAACAUGCACUGUUAUGGGGUUAAUUUCUCAGGAUGAAAAAAAAGAGUUAUCACAUCACGAUUGUUUCUGUGAAUUUUGCAGUCUUUUAAUAAGAGGAAGUGAUCAGUGAGGGGAGCUCCACUGCUUAAAGUUACUGAUUCAGUAAGUGACAAUGGUGAUUCAUCUGUUGAGUUUAAAGAUUUAUUCGUACAUGUACUGAACACCUCUUAUGAGAAUAUCACGUAUUUGUCAAAAGCAGUGGUUUAUUGUGAUUCACACUGUAUUCCAUACUGUAGAAGAGAAGGAUCUCUUGGCAUCUUGUUAAGCAGCUUCAGUUUGAUUGGUAAAUCUCACUGCCAAUGAAUAAUUUUCUGAUUUUAGAAACUUACAUUCUACUAUAUAUUUAGUCAAUUUUUCAUCAUUCUCACAGCGAUUCAUGGUAUUGAAGGCAAAAUACCUGAUCCAUAAUUCAACACAAUAAGACAAUGAUUUGACACUGAUCUAUUGCCAGAUCAAUAGCCUUGUUGACAGAGAAUUCCAGAUGAGCCAGCGAUGCUUUAGUGAUAGAGCAAUUGCUCCAUUAUGCUAAACCCAAGACUUGGGAGGGCAGCCCUAAUUGUCUAAACAACACACAUCGUAUUCCUCAUUUGAUGCGGCAUUGACAUCUAACAUAUUGGAUUCCAUGCUGGAGCAAUCAGGCCGGGACUGCGGCGUUGGGGCACUCCGAGACGCAACCGGGAGCCAGGAUAAUUAACAUUUAUUGAUACAUGACUGCUGUAAGCCUGUUUGCCCAGUGAAUUAAACCAGCUCAUUACAGGCUUAAUGGUGGGUAGGGGAGAUAAAUAAUAGAUGCCAGUCCACUCACUGGCACUUUAGCAUGCAUCAGGAGACCCCUCCACCACUGCUUCCCCCCACCACCAUUCCUGACAUCAAUUUGCUCCUACACAAAGUCAAAACAUUCUCCCUUGAAACCAAAACUGACAUCACCACUUCAGUCCAAAUAAGCAGUCUCAUGUGGGCUUUGUUGGAGGUUUUAAUGAUGGUAGUUGUGGAUAAAGGUUAGGUUGAGUUGGGUACUAAAUCAGAAAUAUGCACACGUGCAGACACAUUUUCAAUAAAGUGACAACGUAAUAAUUAGCAGCAUAAAUAAUGGUUAUGUUGCACUCCUGGGAGUUUUUGAUGAUAAAAAACAGAUGUCAAGACAGAGUGAAAAAGUUCUUUGUAGGUGUCAACCCCACAAAAGGGUGUUCAGUUGCUCUAUUUUGCCCUCCCUCUCUUCUGCCUUACCUCUACUGGCAGAAAUGAAACAUGAGAAAAACCAAUACAUUUUAGUGGAGCGUUACAGCAAGGCAUCCCGACAAACAGCUGAUGCUUUUUGUUGUGCUUCUUAUCUUCUGUGCCUCCCCUGCCCUUUCCAAUUGUUCUCCUCCCUGACAACAUAACUUUCUCACUUUUGCUCCCCCACCUCCCUCCUGUAACCCCACAUGAGAUGCUGCCUUAUCGAGCUUUACCCAAAACACAGUGCAUUUUCAUCUGCCGCUCUGCCUUGUAAAAUCCACUCAAUUCAAAAGCUCAUGAACAUUCAGUGAUGGGUGCAAGUUUGAAAGGAACUAGUCAUGGUUGGAUGAGUGUUUUUUAUUUUUCUAUUCAUGCAUACCACUGCCAGAUCCAGCCUCAUCUUUUUCGCAAUUGUCCAGACUUUUUUCAUAACAUUACUGCCAUUUGCUGGCUCACCAGAACCAUGAAAAGAUUUGAAGAAAGUUUAAUUUUACUUUGAUGUGAUGCAGCACAAAUAACUUGGGUAUAUAAAAUUCUUUUUAUCCUCAAAGAAUAAAACUUUUGAUGGCGAAUAGACUUUUUCAAUAUGACAUAUUUUUUGUGUGGAAAUUGUGCAAGAUUUUCUCUAUAUGAGCUACUUUGUUUCCACGUUAUUAUUAAUAAAUGACAUGGAAACAUUAUGUCUUGGAAAUGUUUAACCAUUUUUCAUACACAAUUGCAUUAAAUGGAACUAACAAGGUAAAAGAUUAAAAAAAGACAUCUGAAAUAUACAAUCUACUGUUGUUAAUGGCAUUUUCAAUAAGAAUCGGAAGAUGAUAGAAGUCAGAGAAUGCAGUUUGCCGAUGUGUUUUACAGAAAUUUUUCACAGAAAUCUUAUCUUAUGUAAUCACACACUGUCCUUUGUUUGUUGUUCGUCCAUCAUGUUGUCAGGUCACAAAGCCUCAAAUUAAAAACAAAUUUAUUUAUUUGUCCUCAAAAAUACUUCAUCUUAGAGAAUAACUUAACAGCAGGCUCAGAAGCAGUGUGUCACUGCCCUCUAAGGUUAAAAGUUUUCAAGUCUGUUUAAAGUAUGAAAUGUGCUCUGUUACCCUGUAACCACACCCAACCGUGAUGUCACGGGGUACUGACACACUCUGGGCCUGAAGUACACUUCUACAUCGGGCAACAAGGUGAGAAGUUAAACCACUGGUGGUCAGCAAAAAUAAAGAUUUUAAGCUUG